UACGUAGGGUGCAAGCGUUGUCCGGAAUUAUUGGGCGUAAAGAGCUCGUAGGCGGCUUGUCGCGUCGGAUGUGAAAACCCGGGGCUCAACCCCGGGCCUGCAUUCGAUACGGGCAGACUAGAGUUCGGUAGGGGAGUCUGGAAUUCCUGGUGUAGCGGUGAAAUGCGCAGAUAUCAGGAGGAACACCGGUGGCGAAGGCGGGACUCUGGGCCGAUACUGACGCUGAGGAGCGAAAGCGUGGGGAGCAAACAGG
rnacentral:rRNA from 1 species